AACCUACUCCCUCCGUCCGAAAAUACUUGUCAUCAAAAUGGACAAAAAUGGAUGUAUUUAGAACUAAAAUACAUCUAGGUACAUCCCCUUUUAUUUAUUUAUUUUGCGGGUCCCUUUUAUUCAUUUUGAUGACAAGUAUUUCCGGACGGAGAAAGUAUUUG
rfam:Triticum urartu cultivar G1812 contig30699, whole genome shotgun sequence.